rnacentral:tRNA from 2 species
UGGGGAGUGGUCUAAUGGCAAGACAGCAGACUCUGACUCUGCGUAUUCGGGGUUCGAAUCCCUGCUCCCCAGCCA